CCUGUAUGUCCCUGAGAAGAAUGGAGAGUGUCUCUGUAGGGUUGUGACCGAUGAAGAGGAGAAGACUGCCAUUCUCAAUGAAGUUCACGCAGGACACUUUGGGAUCAAGAGAAUGAUGGGGAAAAUCAUUCAACGAUUUUACUGGAAAGGGAUUGUAAAGGACGUGGAGCAAUGGAUCCUGAAUUGUGAAGCAUGCCAGAGAUUUGAGAGGGUGAAGACUGUUGCCCCAGAACUGAAGCCAAUCAAAGUUGUUUCUCCAUGGUACAUGAUCGGUGAGUAUUACAUCAUUAAACUUUUAUAGUGAGGUCAGACAAAGAAUGGAAGAACAUACGUAAUUUAAAUGUAGUCUGUAAUAUGUAGAAAACUAAGAGCUUAGUCUGGUAACAAACUUUCUUGAUAGCCAGUUAAACAGAUUGUAAGCACGUGCUCACAAAACAUCAUUUGACAACAGGUUGCAGUUUACAGACUAAUUAGAGCAAGUGUCACAUUGUCACAUGACAUCCAUCUGUAAUGUGAUUAAUGUGUCAUCCACAGGGGGUGGAAAUCUGCUAUGUUUUGUACAGAUAGGUGCAUCAGGACAAUUUCUAGUACAAAAAGAUGCAACACCCAUUGACAACAAUGACUGCCCAAAAAAAAAAAGGGUGCCCCAUUUAAAUGUGUUUGACUCUUUGGGAAUUAAUAAUAAGCAUGAUUUCCGUUCCCAGGUCGUAUCACUGCUGCAGUACAGUGGAAAGACAGUUUGGAUCGGGUGGCCACAUGUACAGCAGCAGCAGGGAUGUAGUGACUGUGGACUGUUUACCAUCGCAAGAUCCAGGUAAGUUAUGAUCAAAAGCAAAUGCGUGAUCAUCUUUUUUCUUGUUUUGUAGCUGGAUCUCUUACUCCUUUCCCGAGCUGUGAGAGAACUCCCCUCCCAGAGGUACAUUUCUGUGAUGUGGAGGUCUACUGCACAUGCAGGAGACCAUACAGGAUUGGACUGGAGAUGAUGGUGGAAUGCGGGAGGUGUGGCGAAUGGUUCCAUGGCCAGUGUGAAGAUCUACAGCCAGAUGACCUCAUAAGUAUGGAGGAGUAUAUGUGCUCCAUUUGCAGAGUUACACACAUGGGUAAGCAUGUAAGUAAAGGUGAAACAGAUUUAUUAUUUUGUUUUUUACUAUAUGUUUUUUUGAACAUUUUAUCUAAGCAUUCCAGCUUAGUAUAUUAUACUAACACUAAAAUUUGGUAAUGCCUGUCAAACAACUUUACCAUAAUUUAUAGCUAUUUACAUAUGUACAGUAGGGCAUUGUUAAUAAGGCUCAUUGCCUUCAGUGUUUAUUUUUCAUGAGCACACAAACUACUUAUUUUGAAGACUUUUUUUUUCAGGAGACCUUGAUUCUGUAUUGAGACGUUUUUAUUUGGAGAAAUAUUGCAGAUGCUUUUUCACUUUCAUUUUUAAUUGGUAUGGUAGUCUUAGUUUCUGAGCUACUGAAUUAUUGCCUGACUUGAGUAUUUCCAGGGCAGAGAUAUCCAAAGUAAACUGGAUGUCAGUUCUAAUACCCACCUUGUUUAAUGUAGUUAUUGUGAACCAGCUGGGGGAGGGGUUGAUUCACUGUAUUGAAGUGAAAUUGUGCCAAAUAAGGUGGGUGUAACAUGAUAUAAAAGUACAGUAAAUGUAAUUCUGAAGUAAUAAACAACUUCACAUUUUACAUGUACAUGUUUCAGACAGUACAUGUAAUGCUUCAAUUUCAAAUUCGAUUUCCAUUCCUAUUAAAUGAUAUUAGACAAUUACAUACUAUACAAGUUAACAGUAUGAAAUGUCAUUUUUAGACAGACAGCCUCUUUAAAGUCCUUUGUGGGUUAUGUGAGAAGGCAUUUUAAAGUUCUGUUAAACCUGCUCCUAACACCCCACUCCAUAGGUCAGGACCUUGACGUGGUGAGGGGGCUUUUUACCAAAGCUGACCUACAGUAUAGCUUUUUUUUUUUUUUUCACCACUGCUUACGCAUUAAGUCCUGGAUAGCACUUUACAAUGGAAAUAUGCAAUCUGAUCAUGUACUGAUCAUGUUUUAUUGUGAAGAAUACAGAAAAUAAAGUUUGUUACAUUUUUCAA